AACACAUGCAAGUCGAGGGGCAGCAUGGUCUUUGCUUGCUAAGGCCGAUGGCGACCGGCGCACGGGUGAGUAACACGUAUCCAACCUGCCGUCUACUCUUGGACAGCCUUCUGAAAGGAAGAUUAAUACAAGAUGGCAUCAUGAGUCCGCAUGUUCACAUGAUUAAAGGUAUUCCGGUAGACGAUGGGGAUGCGUUCCAUUAGAUAGUAGGCGGGGUAACGGCCCACCUAGUCUUCGAUGGAUAGGGGUUCUGAGAGGAAGGUCCCCCACAUUGGAACUGAGACACGGUCCAAACUCCUACGGGAGGCAGCAGUGAGGAAUAUUGGUCAAUGGGCGAGAGCCUGAACCAGCCAAGUAGCGUGAAGGAUGACUGCCCUAUGGGUUGUAAACUUCUUUUAUAAAGGAAUAAAGUCGGGUAUGGAUACCCGUUUGCAUGUACUUUAUGAAUAAGGAUCGGCUAACUCCGUGCCAGCAGCCGCGGUAAUACGGAGGAUCCGAGCGUUAUCCGGAUUUAUUGGGUUUAAAGGGAGCGUAGAUGGAUGUUUAAGUCAGUUGUGAAAGUUUGCGGCUCAACCGUAAAAUUGCAGUUGAUACUGGAUAUCUUGAGUGCAGUUGAGGCAGGCGGAAUUCGUGGUGUAGCGGUGAAAUGCUUAGAUAUCACGAAGAACUCCGAUUGCGAAGGCAGCCUGCUAAGCUGCAACUGACAUUGAGGCUCGAAAGUGUGGGUAUCAAACAGGAUUAGAUACCCUGGUAGUCCACACGGUAAACGAUGAAUACUCGCUGUUUGCGAUAUACUGCAAGCGGCCAAGCGAAAGCGUUAAGUAUUCCACCUGGGGAGUACGCCGGCAACGGUGAAACUCAAAGGAAUUGACGGGGGCCCGCACAAGCGGAGGAACAUGUGGUUUAAUUCGAUGAUACGCGAGGAACCUUACCCGGGCUUAAAUUGCAGAUGAAUUACGGUGAAAGCCGUAAGCCGCAAGGCAUCUGUGAAGGUGCUGCAUGGUUGUCGUCAGCUCGUGCCGUGAGGUGUCGGCUUAAGUGCCAUAACGAGCGCAACCCUUGUUGUCAGUUACUAACAGGUUCCGCUGAGGACUCUGACAAGACUGCCAUCGUAAGAUGUGAGGAAGGUGGGGAUGACGUCAAAUCAGCACGGCCCUUACGUCCGGGGCUACACACGUGUUACAAUGGGGGGUACAGAGGGCCGCUACCACGCGAGUGGAUGCCAAUCCCCAAAACCUCUCUCAGUUCGGACUGGAGUCUGCAACCCGACUCCACGAAGCUGGAUUCGCUAGUAAUCGCGCAUCAGCCACGGCGCGGUGAAUACGUUCCCGGGCCUUGUACACACCGCCCGUCAAGCCAUGGGAGCCGGGGGUACCUGAAGUGCGUAACCGGGAGGAGCGCCCUAGGGUAAAACUGGUGACUGGGCC
rnacentral:rRNA from 1 species